UAAGAACGAGCUAUACCGUUGACAGGAUACCCGUAACUUUAUGCGUGCACCCUUUCAUGUACUGAGGUUUAAUGAAAUAAUCUCGAAGAAAGGACCAAAGUACACUCUUUCCGUUACAUGUGUCGAGGGAGUCUCGACGCCUCCCGCUUCGUGCUUCUUGACACCCUUUCUCCAUGGUUCUUUUUAUUCCUUAUCCUCCUUUUUUAAAGAAAGAAGGAAAGCACAUCUCUCCAAUCGCCACCGCUCGAUCCACAGGGCGGUAUCUUUCCCGGUUACCGCGCUUGGAUCGUUUCAUCGAGCGGUGCGCCGUGGGCAUCACUCCGUGCGAAGCUUCCUCCGCAAAUC
rnacentral:lncRNA from 1 species